rnacentral:rRNA from 1 species
UUAAUUGAAGAGUUUGAUCAUGGCUCAGAUUGAACGCUGGCGGCAGGCUUAACACAUGCAAGUCGAGCGGUAGCACAAGGGAGCUUGCUCCCUGGGUGACGAGCGGCGGACGGGUGAGUAAUGUCUGGGAAACUGCCUGAUGGAGGGGGAUAACUACUGGAAACGGUAGCUAAUACCGCAUAACGUCGCAAGACCAAAGAGGGGGACCUUCGGGCCUCUUGCCAUCAGAUGUGCCCAGAUGGGAUUAGCUAGUAGGUGGGGUAAUGGCUCACCUAGGCGACGAUCCCUAGCUGGUCUGAGAGGAUGACCAGCCACACUGGAACUGAGACACGGUCCAGACUCCUACGGGAGGCAGCAGUGGGGAAUAUUGGACA